GAUGAACGCUGGCGGCGUGCUUAACACAUGCAAGUCGAACGAUCAAGCCUUAGCUUUCUUUGUUGGAUGAUUGGCGCACGGGUGAGUAACACGUGAGCAUCACCUCCAUGACUCUGUAAUAACCGCGGGAAACCGUGGCUAAUACCGGAGAGAUUCUGAUGCCCCGUGUUCUUCAGUUGGAAAGUUUUUUCUGUUUUGGAUAUGCUCACGGCCUAUCAGCUUGUUGGUUGGGUAAUGGCCUACCAACUCGACGAGGGGUAGCCGGCAAGAGAGGGUGACCGGGCACACUGGGACUGAGACACGGCGCAGACUCCAAUGGGAGGCAGCAGGGGGGAGUAUUGCAGAAUAGGGGCGAGCCUGAGGCAGAGGCGCCGCGUGGGGGAUAACGGGCUUCGGGUUGUGAACAUAUUUUAGUAGAGAAGAAGAGCAAGUGACGGUACCUGCAGAAAAAGCCACGGCUAACUACGUG
rnacentral:rRNA from 1 species